rnacentral:rRNA from 1 species
GAAAGACCCUAUAGACCUUAACUGUAAGCUGUUAUUGGUUGUUCGAUCUUAAUGCUCAGCAUAAGUGGGAGGCUUUGAACCAUUCCUCUAGGGGAAUGGGGAGCCAACAGUGAGAUACCACCCUUUAGCAUUGGGAAAUCUAACCUCUUGCCUUUAUCAGGCAGAGGAACAAUGGCAGCCGGUCAGUUUGACUGGGGCGGUCUCCUCCUAAAGAGUAACGGAGGAGCGCGAAGGUAGGCUCAGCGCGGUUGGCAAUCGCGUUUCGAGUGCAUUGGCAUAAGCCUGCCUAACUGCGAGACCUACAAGUCGAGCAGAGACGAAAGUCGGCCAAAGUGAUCCGGCGGUGGAAUAUGGAAUCGCCGUCGCUCAUCGGAUAAAAGGUACCUUAGGGAUAACAGGCUGAUCGCGCCCAAGAGUUCAUAUCGACGGCGCGGUUUGGCACCUCGAUGUCGGCUCGUCACAUCCUGGGGCUGGAGAAGGUCCCAAGGGUUCGGCUGUUCGCCGAUUAAAGUGGCACGCGAGCUGGGUUCAGAACGUCGCGAGACAGUUCGGUCCUCUAUCCUCUGUGGGCGUAGGAAACUUGAGGGGUUCAAACUCUAGUACGAGAGGACCGAGUUUGACGAGCCUCUGGUGCUCCGGUUGUCGCGUCAGCGGCAUAGCCGGGUAGCUAAGCUCGGAACAGAUAAGCGCUGAAAGCAUCUAAGCGCCAAGCUAUUCCCAAGAUAAAUUUUCCCUGAAGGAUCGUGGAAGACUACCACGUUGAUAGGCUGCUUGUGUAAUGAUGGCAACAUCUUUAGCUUAGCAGUACUAAUAAUCCGUUCGACUUGUUUCAC